CGGGAGAUAAAAUAAAAAUAAAAGACAACACACAGAGACACAGAGAGCAAGAAACCUAGGCCAACUUCACAGGAUUGUUUUUGGCCCUUGGCAAAAGAGAGAGAUCUCAAUUUCAUCUCCGUCUCUCCCCUUCCAGAGCAGAACCUGUCAAAGUAAUUUAAGUCCUGCCUUUUUUUUUUUUUUUAAAUACCGUGAGUGUCAUGGCAGUAAUUAAAAAAAAUAAAGGACCUGGAUCUCUCUUCUGAGGAGUUGCUGCUAGAAGAGGAGGCUUCUGCAAAUUGCAAUUCCAACCCCUGUCAGCAGUUUCUAGAGCAACAAGUCAUUCCGGAGAUGCUACAUAAUUGCACUUUCCUGGGCGACCCCUCGGCUUUGCCAAGCAGCUCCAUGCCCACGCCGAGACAGCCGGCUUAGGAAGCACACAGCACGAAGCAGACAAGAGCUGAUCUCCCCCUUGCAAGGAAAAAAAAAAUUAAGAAAGAAAAGAAGAAAAAAAGAGCCAAGCGAAGAUUUACCUCAGCAGUGCAUGCAGUGAAUCACUUCCAUCACCCUUUUGUUUGUGUUUUUAUUGGGGUCGCCUCUGCCUCUCUCUCUCUUGCCCAAGGACUGUGUGUUUGUGCACUGCAGUUGGUUAUGGAAACUAAGGCAGUGGAUCUGUAGCUAAGGGUAAUCCUGUUUUUACUUCCUCCAUCUUCAGAGAGCAGGGUUAGCCUGGGACAGCUGGUCAAACCCCGAGAAACCGAUCCGGCGGGCGGGCGCGCACACAUCACACAUCUCGCCCAGGCAGCCGCGCUCCCAGACACCCCGAGCCGGGAGAGGCGGCGCGGGGAGGGCGUGCGCGCCUGUGUGCGUGUGUAUGUGUGUGUAUGUGUGUGUGUGCGCUGGCAGCGCCGCUCCGCGCGCUCGGCAAUCGAUUACAGGACAAGUGCUGCUUCUGCCGCUCCCCGCCGCGCGCACACACACACACACACACACACACGCGGGCACACGCACACGCGCGCUCCCUCUCCCCUCUCCCCGCACAGGCUCUCAAGGUUGAGGUGCGGCGGAGCGCGCGGAUGACGGCCGCCCGCUCCCGAGAGCCAUUACAGCCUCCCGGCCCGAGGAAAAAGCCGGGCUGCGUUUCUUUCUUUGCUGCCUGAAUGAACUUAACUCCCCCCCCUGCCCCCCCCCGCCGGCUCUCGGAGUCAUGAUUCAGCACUUCUAUUUUUAAACUUUCCUGCUCGCUUCCCUUCUGCCCUGCCAAGCAGCGCGGAUGCCCGGGGCGCGAGGGCGGCCCGGCUCGGAUGACGACGUGUCUUGCUCAGAGCCGAGCCCCGGCACGUCUCGGCGCCCACCCGGCGGGGCGCGGGGCCUGGCUGUCAUGUCAGUGCGCGGCCGCUGCCCGGGGACGUGCGGCCGCACACCUGGCCGACGACACAAAGGGAGCUCUGGGCGCAGGGACACACACGGCAAGUGGCAGGCGGUGUCAAAGUCCUGUGCUGCGCUGGACUCGCCAGCUCUGCAACUUUGUUUAUCGGCUCUGCCAUAAUUACGGGCGACAGGAGAAGGGGCAGGAAGCACGACAUGAAAUGUUCCAGCACUCCAAUUACUAGUAUUCCUAUUACCAUGAUUACAAUUAUUAUCAUUCAUAUUACCAUUCCUACUAUUAUCACUAUUGCUACUAUUACCAUUACUAUUACUCUUAUUCCCAUUAUUUCCAUUAUUAUUACUAUUAACAUUAUUGCAAUUAUUAUCAUUCCUAUUACCAUUACUAUUAUUACCAUUCUCAUUAUUAUUACUAUUCCCACUAUCCCCAUUAUUAUAAUUCAUAUUACCAUUAUUACUAUCACUAUUACUAUUAUCACUAUUUCUUCUAUUACCAUUAUUACUGUUACUAAUAAUUACUGUUACUAUUAUAUUAUUGCUAUUACUAUCAUUCAUAUUACCAUUAUUACCAGGGAUCCUGGUUUUCUCCGAUUUAAAAAAUCCCCAAUUUUCAGUUAAAAAAAGUAACCCCAAAUCCACAUUUUCCCAUGAUUAAGAUUAAACAACUCUCUCUCUAUAUAUCUCUAUAUAUUGGUGGUGUUUCAUUUAAAUCACAGGAAAAAUGUGGAUUUGGUUACCUUUUUAAGCAAAAACGGGAUUUUUUUAAAUCAGAGAAAACCAGGAUCCCUAAUUAUUACCAUUACUCCUAUUAUUACUAUUACCAUUACUACUAUUACUAAUAUUACCAUUAUUCCUUUUACCAUUAUUAGCAUUACUACUAUUAUUCCUACUACCAUUAUUAUUACUGCUAUUACUACUGUCUAAAAGAGCAUUCGUUGCAUAUGUAAAACAGGAGGCUAGAAAAAGAUUCUCCUUGGAGAAAAAGAGAAUUAAUAUGUUUCUCUUGGUUCAGAUAUAGAUAUAUAGAUAUAGAGACUGAUACUGGCUGUGGGAGAUGGAUAGCAUUUUCCCAAGACAAUUCACAAGGCAGACAAUAUUUAAAUAUGAUGCAAAAAUAUGUUAAAGUGAGAUAUAGGCUGUAAAGAUCUUUACAUGGGAUUUGAUCCAGAGUCCACUGAAAUCAAUAGGGUCAUUCCAUUGUCUUUAAUUUAAGUUUGAUUGGGGCCCAAUAAGAACAGUCCUUUUCUUCUAGUGUGCUUUAAAUGAGUGAAAUAUAGGAAUAUUUGCAAUAUAAUUAGGCAUCAGGGUUAACACAAUAUUGACAUAAGGGGGAACAGUUCAGACUUACUUCCAAACUACCACUUAUUUAUUGUAUCAAAUGAUACUAUAAAUUAUUAAAUACAUAACAUUUGAACCCUCAGAAGUUAACAAGUAUUGAGAUUAAGGCUCUGCCAUUUAAAUAAUAAGGCACUAAUUUAAGUAGUAGGAUGUCAUCCUUUCACCAACCACUAGAGGGGGAUGAGGCACACAGUAUUGUCAGUGGGUUUCAUAGGUGUUUGCUGAGAGUAGACGAAUAGUGAGAUUAUUUUAUUUAUUCCACUAAAGUUCCCAUCCCACAAUUAUCACCAUAAUCUCCGAGUGCCUUCUAGUAGUGCAUGAAGUGAUGUGAGUAACUUCUGUCAUGUGUUUGUUCUCUCAUCCUUUCCCAAGGGGGAGUACUGUGUGCAGAGGGUUGUUCUAUUUUAGUGUUUUGAAUAAUAUAUAUAUUACACAAACACAUGGGUAGUGCUGUGUGUUUAUGGAGUUUGCAUGGUUGUGGAUUUGGGAGCCUUGGGUUCCUUCCAGGUUCUGCUGAGAAGUGUACUUUAGAGGUCCAAGCCCUUCUGCCUGUUUGCCCAAAGCCAGAUUCAACCGUCCUAUACCUCUACUACUGGCUCCUUAGCCCAGACACAUUGGUAGCUGGUCCUAGGUUCCACCAUUCUAGGUUCUUUGUCAUAACAGUCCUAGGUUUUUCUUCUACGCUCCCUAGAUCCAAUAUUCUCUGUGGUUUCAUGUUCCCACUCCUUGUCCCAGUCCCAUUUUUCCCCCAUUGGUCUUCUAUGCCCCUCCCCUACACUCCCUCCCAGCUCUCAAUCCCAGUCUUUUCUCCAAGCUUCAAACACCACUCCCCUUGUCCAACAGCUCCUUGCCCCAGUUCUCAGUCUCCCCGUAAAGCUCCUUGUCCCAAUUUCUUCCCUCCACUGCUCCCCUCCCCACUCUAGUCCACUUCUUGACCUCUCUGCACUAAGUCCAUCAGCUUCCCCCACCAUACUGCCUCACUAACAGGAAGAAUAUACUGACCAGCUGAGACAGACAGUCUCUUUGCUCUGAGUUUUGGUGCCUGGUGCCAUACCAGCCCAUAGCUGUCAGGAGCAGAAAUUGCAACCCUGGCAGUUCUGGGAUGAAGCAUACUCAGCGCAGAUGGAACUGUCACAGAAUCCAGCUGCCAAACACUUAACAUGGAUCAACUGUGGACAUGCAAAAUGAUAUUUUUUCCUACUAGCUCAUAACUUCACCAAACUUGGGCAGUUUCUCCUGGGCACAGGAAAAAAAAGCACAUCCUUGAACUCCCCUACCACAUUUCAAGUCCCUGCUCAAUGGUACAGACACUAGAAGUUCUUAAUAAAAUAGUUAUAAGAUUAAAAGAAAAAGCUUGGCAAAACUAGGUACUCUCUCCUAAUCUUCCAAAUGAGACUUUUUAAAACUGAAUUAAACUGAAUUUAAAAUUAAAAUAUAUAUAUAGAUAGAUCAUCUUGAGUCAAACAACCAGCCUGGAGAAUUUCAGCCUAAACAAUUAAAGUUUGGCAAAAAGCAACUGAAAAUACAGUGUUAUAGCAAAGCUGAACAACCUUAUCUAUAGACAGGACUACCAGCUUUGCCUGCAUACCUAAUAUGUACUUAGAGAUACUGUAUUAUCAGUUGCUGAUAACUUUACCAAACUUCAUUGUUUGAGCUCAAAUCACCCAUGCUGGGUGUCUACAUCAAGAUGAUUAUCAUUAUAAUUUUAAUUCAUAAAUAUUCAGUAAAAAUGGUAGAUACAUAAAUUAUAAGCAAUAAAGUAAAACCCAAGUCCAGUAUCUGAGGUACUUUGCACCAUAUCAAAGUACCCCAUAAAGCAUUUUGUUGUCCAGCUCCUCAGUCAAGAUAUUAUUAAAAAUGUACUAAUAAAAUGGGUACAGAAAUCAAAGACACUAAUAAGGGUAGUAUAUAUUUCUGUACACAACCCAAGCAUUCAAGACCUAUUAGCUAAGUAAACAUUGCAAAACAUCUGUGAGCAAGAUAGGCUUUAUUGUUUGCAUGUUGCGUAGGAGAAGGAAGGAAAGUUAAGUGACUGGCCCAAGGCCACAUACAGUAGUACUAAAAAAAAUGAGCCUAGAAAGCAGAUCUUUUAUUUCCCACGCCUAUGCUCUAACAACUAAACGUGGCCUGUCUACAUUGGGAAAAUAGACAGGCAGAAUUACAGUGGCAAAAUUAUGCCUGUUUUUAGCUAUGCUGGUACAACUACCCUUGUAGAGACUCUAUUUCAGAAUAAGAGUAACCUAUUAAGUUCUGAUCUUAUGAAGUAAUUUAUAAAAACAACUCUUAUUUGAGGAUAUUAUCCACACAAGGAGUUAAUUUCCCUGGCCUGAACAAGUUUUUGCUGCCCCUUCAACAGAGGAAAAUAAUACCAAGAAAGAAAAAUAUGGUAAACAUUGGUAUUUUUUUUUCCUAAAUUCAAAAAUUGAUCAACAUUUUUUCAACUUUGAUCAGCUCUGUAGGAUGGUCAUAAAGUGCAUGGAAAUAUAAAAAUAUAAUUGGAAUAUUUUUUCUUAUUUUUUGCCUUAUGAACAUUUUUGGUGAUAUUUUUCAUCAAAAUUUUGAAACUUGAAAAUUUCAAUGAUCUCUGCUAACAGUCAACUAUCUUGAUGAAUAAAUAGCCAGAAUUAAAUAAUUAAAGUAAUUAACUAAUUAAAGUAGUCAGAACCCAGCUCAUCUAGCCUUCUCUUAUUUUUUACUACACUUUAUUAAUUUUUGUUUUGGUUCCUCCAUAACUUUUCAAAUAAUAAGCACGUUUUGAAAAAGUACAAUGUAACCAAAGGAAAAAUUGGAGGGAGGGAAGGAAAGAAUUUUAAAAUUAGUUUCAGUAAUUCUAGGACCAAAAACAUUAAAAUCUGGUAAUUAUAUUAUGAUACUUGUCUGGAAUCACAGGCUGUGUUUCAAGUGAAAAAUUCAACUCAGCCUCAGCUCAGGACUUGAGACCUGGGUACUCCAGGGAAUGAUAGUCAUUAAAGCAAUUGUGAUGAUCUUGAGGUUAGAGCACUAAACAGGGGAAUCAGGAGUUCUGGGUUCAGUUUCAAUCUCUGCCACAGAUUCCAUGUAUAUUAGGGACAAUAAUACUUCCCCAUUAAAGAGUGGUGUUAUGACAAUAUAUUAAUUCAUUUCUUAGGGCACUUAAGGGCACUUUUAGAUACCUCAGUGAUGGAUAUGUUAUGAGACUAUUAAUCCAAUAGAAGUUUUUGUGUCUUUAUACACAGAAACGACCCAAAGCAUUCAAACUAUCCCUGAACGUGUAAUCAGAUAAAUCCCAUAAGGGUCCUUUUCUUUUUGGCUAUAAUAAGGCCAAGGAAUUCUAGGAAUCAUCCAUUAAAUUGUGUUUAUUAGGUUCUAACAAAACUUUUGUUACCACAAUGAAAGUUUCAGAUACAUUUUUAUUUUGGUUACUUUGCAAAUAAGCAAACAGCAAACUGUUGAGUUCCAUAACUCCAAGCACUUCCUCUGAAUACAGCACCAGAUCGAUAGACUUUAUAAAGCCUUACCUACCAUUUGAGUGAGUUAUUAUAUAUGGGCUACUUUUAAGACAAAUUGUAUCAAACUUUGAAAAAAAAAUAUAGAUGAUUAUUCACCUAAUUUGGAUUUGACAACCUAAAACUGUAUGAGUACUAAUCCAUACCUUAUACCCUUCUCUCUUAUAAUUAUGCUAGAACACUGUUUUAUUUUUAUAUAUACCAGCAUCAAUAAACAAGAUGUAUAAAAGGAAAUAAUGAACAUCCCUAAAUAGCUGUAGAAUAUUUCCUACUUAUUCUGAAAGAGAUGCAGCUGUACCUACUUGUAUUUCACUAAAAAGCAUAUACACUCAUUCCUAUUAAAACAGGACACACACAUGUAAUUUAUGAAGAAGCACAACAUUCAUGAUAGCUCAUAGAACUCAUAAACUGUAGAUCUGUGUCUGUUACUAUAGUUGUAUAUGGGCAUUCAUUGCAUGGAGAACUGCUGAACAGUCUGAGUAUGUAAUCUGAAUACUAAAUUUGUGAAUAGUUCCACUGCUCUCUCUGCACACUAGGGUUGGUUAGGCUUUCAAAAGCAACAGAUGCUUUGUGUGGAACUGUGUAAAACACUGCUAAUAUAUCACGUGAUUUCUGUAUUUUUCUUCAUUUAUCUAUUCAGUUAAGGCUUUAGUCUUGAAGACACAAUAUUCCUAAAAAUACUUCACCUCCUCCUGCAUGCUCUUCACCUGAGUUCUACAUUUUCUAUGUGACAUGAACCCUUUUUUUACAGAAAACAUUUCAUUGUUUCUUUUUUUUAAAUACAGAGGAUAAGUCAUAGCUUAUGAAUACACACACAUAUACCAGAAUGCCCUUUUUCUUUAUUCACCAGUACCUAAACUAAUUGCUAUAUGGAGGUUACAUUUUGUUUCAUAAUCAGUAAAAAAUGUAGAGAUUUUCUGUUUCCAUGUCAGUGUAUAAACUUACAUGCAAAUUGUACCCUUGUAGGAUGAUCCCAAAACUGUAGGAUAAUUCUACAGAUCUGAAUUAUCCUAACUAUAGAUACAGGCUGGACAUUCUCUGGGGCAACAACCAUCUUUUUUGUUCUUUGCUCCUAUACAUCACUGCAACACAAAUAUUUUAAAGAUCUCAGAUAUGGCCAGAUUAUAAGGUUCACCAUGCUUUUUCUACAGAAAGCACUGGAGAAUUUUAAUGACAAGAACCAAACAGUAACACAACUUGGGCAGAACUUCAAAAGUUCAGGCAUUUUCAGAUCCGGUUCAGAUAGGCCUCCAAAAGGCAGAAAACCUUUCUGAACUCUUUGGGUGCUCUGCUCUACUGCAUUGCACCACCCCCCCCCCAACCCCCAGCUACAGAAAGGCCUCUUGAGAGCUGCAGCAGCUGCUGCUAGCUGCUUUGCCUGGCCAGAGCUGGGGUGUGGGGAAAGAGGAGAGGGGGAGAGGUGGAACAGAGCCCCCCUCGCCUCAUGGGCCCAGCCUGGAUCCCUCCGCAAUACCUCAGCUGGGGUAGCUGCUGGCACCACUUCCCAUCCCUCCCUUGCUCCCCUCACCACUUCCUCUCCCUCCCCUGUUGACAGCUCCUGAGCUGGGGGCAGGGAGGGGGAUGGGGAGAAGGGUGGUUUAGCAGGUUCCCUGGAGGCUGCUGGAGUGCCCCUACCUGCUGGCCAGGGCUGGUGCAGGCAGGCUCAAGUCUCCCUGACCCAAAAGGUGAACAUCUGUUUGGUCAGGGGAGGGAGGCGGAGCUCUAACUCUUGGCACUUUGUGCAAAGUGCCGUAAGUUAGAACAGGGCCCCUAAACAUCUGUAGGCACCCUCUAAGUUAUCUGCUCAAGUCUACCAAAUAUAAGGCUGUGGAUAUAAUCAGAACAGGAUUGUUUGUAAGACGUCUGAUACCUACACCUCUCUCAGUUUUCCAGGGCCUUUUUCCAGGGUCUUGAGCCUAUCUGAAAAGCAAAAUUGAUCAGCCUAUAUUAUGCCAAUGUUUUUGAACUGCAAAAUAAAAGUUUCCUUUAGAGUUCUUCUGUAAAUGCAGAAAAAAAAGAUUUGGGAGGUAAAAGAGUAUUUGCAUUUAAUCUAACCGAACAGGCCCAUUCUAAGCCUACAGAAUGAAAGUAAAUGAUCAUUUGUCUUGGUUCUACUUCACCUGUCCAACUUUUUCAUAUGAUAUUUCAGUAACUUCUUUCAUGAUACCAGAAAAAUACUUUAUUUCCCUCAUUUCAUUACUCAAGCAUUUUUUUUUUUUUUGCAUAAAACAAAAUGUUUGUCCAAGACUCAUUGUUACAGAGAAUAAAAGGUACUUCCUGUUUCCCAGAAGCAGAUAGCCUAGUGGAACAAGUAUUCAGUGGGACAGAACUUGCAGCAAACAGUCAAAUAAUUAUAGAUGCUCUCAAAGCCAUUCUUGGGCUUCAAUGAAGGCUGGUCAAUGUUUCAUGACAAAUUAAAUUCAGAAUAUAAAAAUACGCGAAAAAUCCUCCACCACAAACAUUAUGUAUAUGUUACUGAUAAGUCUAGCAUUAAUGCUAUCUCCUAUUUCAAAUGAAGUAUAAUUCAGGGAUUAGGAUGCAAAUUUAGGAUAUGGGAGAUUUGCAUUCAGUUCCCUGCUCUACCACAAACUUCGCAUGUGACCUUGGGCAGACCAGCCUGUGCUUCAGAUUCUUACCAGUAAAAUGUGGCUGAUAAUAUUUCCCUACCUCACUAGGGUACAUCAAGAAUAAUAAACACAUUAUUAUACUCAAUAUUCUUAAAUAUUUGCAUUAAGGGAGUCAUAUAAGUGCCUAAGAUAGUUUAUUUUAAAAAGUGUUCUUUUGUAAGACUAUUUCAUGGUUAUAGAAAAAGUUUCACCAUAAAAGUGUCCUGUUAUUUGAUUGUGAAAAAUAUGGUCACCUUAAAUUAAGUGUUCCUAUAAUCAGUUUUUAAGUAAAGAGGUGUAACUUAGAUUAAUGCUAUGCAACAUUUUAAAACAUUAAAAGAUUAGCAUCUCUUUACAUAGUUCUAAAUAUUACAUUGAACAAUAUUUGACCACAGUCUUUUAAGCCUGCAUGUUAAUUUUUAUAGUGAACCAUUCAAAGGGCUCUCUCUAGCAGUGCAAUUGAUUAAAUGGUUCAUAUCUUUUGUUAGGAGUUUGGAUUAUAUAGUAAGAACAGUUCUUCUAUUCUUUAGAUCAUCUUUUUUAAUUCACCUGAAGGAAUACAAGGACUUUGUCUCCAGAUUUUACUCUCAUAUAAUUUUGCAAGAAGCACUUCACAACUCAUAAUUUGUAAACAGUUUGGUUUUUUUUAGCGGGAGAAAUAUUCCUGUGUUUAAUUUUCUCUUUGAUGAGUUAAAGCAGGAAGGAGGAUAAUUCUCUCUCUAUUUCAUCCUGUCACUGUGGAUACUAGCAGAUGUUAAAAAAAAAGAACAUAAAAAACAUGGUUUAGCAGAAGCAGCAGCACGUUACUUCAACCCGGCUCUACAGUAUCUUAAAGAUUAGGUGAUUCAGUGGGUCUUUUUGGUGCUUUUAGUUAAAGCUGAUUCAAACAGCUAUUAGAUAAAAGGGCCAAUAAAACCCCACUAAAGGACCCAAUCUUUACAGAAGUUGGUUGAGCUGGGUUGAAGUAAUGUGCUGCCUCUGUUGGAUAUGCACAGGGCUCGGUGCAGGAACACGCUGAGUUUAAAUAAAAGCACUGUUUUUGGGGUGGGGAGGUUGGUUUGUUUGUUUUUUUUUGUGGGGGGGGUUAUAUGUCUGCAAGCACAUUCUCCCCAGUGCACUCAGCAGCAGACCCAGAAGUGGAGCAGAAGCAUUUCCGAUCCACUUCCCGGUCUGCCGGGGAGCACACAGCGGGGCCCCCCACACCCCCUGGCUCAGUGACUGGUGCCUCCUGGGUCUGCGGGGGGCACCUGGGGUUCCCUUGUGGUCAAUCACCGAGCCAGGGGGUCCCCAGCGUGCUCCCCGAUGGACCCAGAAGUGGACCGGAAGUAUUUCCAGACCAUUUCCGGGUUCGCCACCAAGCAUGCAGGGCCCCCCCCACCACACUCCUGGCAAUGCUCCAUCCGCCCCAGCAUCACAGUGUUCACAAGCCCCACCUGGUACCUUGAGAUAUGAAGGAAAAACGUUUAAAGCUGCAUCUACAGCUGAAUUGCCGAUUCUCUGAAUCAGCAUCACAUCUUCACAUUUGGAUUCAGCUGGAUCGAAUCGGGGACAGUGAUCUGAAUCAACAAAUUGAAUCACUGUCCCCAAUUCAGGCCGAAUCCAAAUCAAAUACUACCUGUUUCGCACACUCGUAUUGUAUAAAGUGAUAAUAUCUGCCUCAGGUACCAUGUACCUGGACAUACGUACAUCUCUGAUUCUUCUAAAGGCCGAUCUCUCCAGGUCCUUUUGGUUACUUUGGCUGACAUCUUACUAUUAGGGGUUCCCAAACUGCAUGCAGUCUAUCUUUAAGGCUUUAUAAAAAUUUGUUGCCUCCUUGAUUUAUGUGGCAAUACUUCAGGCUAUACCAUUCAAAGCUGCAUGCAGUUCUAUGAGAAGUUCAUAUAUGAUUUUGUAGCUACUUAAUUAUUUGUUGAGCAUUAUUGAGUUAUAGGAUUCACUCAUGUAUAACUUUUACCUUCCCUCAAACUCAGUCUAAUUUUCUUAUUGCUUGUACAUGUCAUAUAAUAUCAUCCUACUCCACUGUUUCAUGUUCAUUUUUUUCAUCCUGUCUGGUCUUUGAAACGCUUCCCAAGGCUAUUAUGUAUUACUGAUUUCAUACAUUAUAUUCUACAUAGAACAUGUCACUUGGCUGAACAGUAUAUUAUUAUAUUUUAUGUAAUCAGUAUGCCCUUUUAUGCUUGUAUGAUCAUUUUGCACUUCAAAUAUUCUAAACUGUAUAGUACAACAUUAUUCAAAAUCUAAGCAUGGUACCCUUAAAAUGUUGUCCUGUUUCUUAUCACAGUUGCCAGACAGAAUACAGUAAUUGUUAGUCAGGGCAGCAAACAUUUCAACUGUGAGCGCUUAUAUUCUGUCCUGUUUAGUCCCUGACUACAGCACUGGCUAAUGUCUCAAUAUAGUGAGGAAAAUUAAGUUCAUGUAAUUGGUGCUUUUCUUUUAUGUCAGCCUCAUGUUCAGCUCUGCCCAUGUUUUGGUGAUGAGAGGUGGGAUUCAUUUUUUCCUUUUUUAACAUGUUAUAGUUUCUAUUUAAAUUUAAAAUGUUAGGUUAUUGAUCAUUAUUUUAGAUUAAAAUUUCUAGAUCAAAAUGUUUAUAUUGAAAGGACCUUUAGAAAUAUUCUAUACGUGCUAAUCAGUCAUGUUUUAAUAAAUAGCUAAUUAAUCCUUAUAGAGUCCACCAGGUCAAAAUAUUGCUUAUAACAAUGAUUUGUAAUUUUUUAAAACACUUUCUAUUGGUGUGCUCAUAACUAUCUCUAACAUCUACUAUUCAUGUCUAUAAUAUGCUUAUAAUAGCUGAACAGCAUUAUAAGUUGUAUAUAAACACACUCGUAUCUAAAAUAAAAUCUGAUCCAAAACACAAAA